GACGAACGCUGGCGGCGUGCCUAAUACAUGCAAGUAGAACGCUUAAGAGAGGAGCUUGCUCUUCUUGGAUGAGUUGCGCACGGGUGAGUAACGCGUAGGUAACCUGCCUUGUAGCGGGGGAUAACUAUUGGAAACGAUAGCUAAUACCGCAUAACAAUGGAUGACACAUGUCAUUUAUUUGAAAGGGGCAAUUGCUCCACUACAAGAUGGACCUGCGUUGUAUUAGCUAGUAGGUGAGGUAAUGGCUCACCUAGGCGACGAUACAUAGCCGACCUGAGAGGGUGAUCGGCCACACUGGGACUGAGACACGGCCCAGACUCCUACGGGAGGCAGCAGUAGGGAAGCUUCGGAAAUGGGGGCAACCCUGACCGAGCAACGCCGCGUGAGUGAAGAAGGGUUUCGGAUCGUAAAGCUCUGUUGUAAGUCAAGAACGGGUGUGAGAGUGGAAAGUUCACACUGUGACGGUAGCUUACCAGAAAGGGACGGCUAACUACGUG
rnacentral:rRNA from 1 species